rnacentral:rRNA from 1 species
UACGUCGGGGGCGAGCGUUGUCCGGAUUUAUUGGGCGUAAAGAGCGUGUAGGCGGCCAGGUAGGUCUGCUGUGAAAACUCGAGGCUCAACCUCGAGACGUCGGCGGAAACCAUCUGGCUAGAGUCCGGAAGAGGAGAGUGGAAUUCCUGGUGUAGCGGUGAAAUGCGCAGAUAUCAGGAAGAACACCAAUGGCGAAGGCAGCUCUCUGGGACGGUACUGACGCUGAGACGCGAAAGCGUGGGGAGCGAACAGG